UACGGGGGGAGCAAGCGUUGUUCGGAUUUACUGGGCGUAAAGGGCGCGUAGGCGGCCACCGCAAGUCGACUGUGAAAUCUCCGGGCUUAACCCGGAAAGAUCAGCCGAUACUGCGGGGCUAGAGUGCAGAAGGGGCAACUGGAAUUCUCGGUGUAGCGGUGAAAUGCGUAGAUAUCGAGAGGAACACCUGCGGCGAAGGCGGGUUGCUGGGCUGACACUGACGCUGAAGCGCGAAAGCUAGGGGAGCGAACGGG
rnacentral:rRNA from 1 species